rnacentral:rRNA from 1 species
GGGGGGGGGGGGGGGGGGGGGGGGGGGGUGGGGGGGGGGGGGGGGGGCCGGGCGGGUGGGGGGGGGGCGGGGGGCGAGCGGGGGAGUACCACGUGAGUACCCUGCCCUGGACUUUGGGAGCGCUUCGGGAAACUGGGGCUAAUACCGGAUAGGAGCUCCUGCUGCAUGGUGGGGGUUGGAAAGUUUCGGCGGUGGGGGAUGGACUCGCGGCUUAUCAGCUUGUUGGUGGGGUAGUGGCUUACCAAGGCUUUGACGGGUAGCCGGCCUGCGAGGGUGACCGGCCACAUUGGGACUGAGAUACGGCCCAGACUCCUACGGGAGGCAGCAGUGGGGAAUAUUGCACAAUGGGCGGAAGCCUGAUGCAGCAACGCCGCGUGCGGGAUGACGGCCUUCGGGUUGUAAACCGCUUUCGCCUGUGACGAAGCGUGAGUGACGGUAAUGGGUAAAGAAGCACCGGCUAACUACGUG